rnacentral:rRNA from 1 species
AGUGAACGCUGGCGGUAGGCCUAACACAUGCAAGUCGAACGGCAGCACAGUAAGAGCUUGCUCUUACGGGUGGCGAGUGGCGGACGGGUGGGGAAUACAUCGGAAUCUACUUUUUCGUGGGGGAUAACGUAGGGAAACUUACGCUAAUACCGCAUACGACCUACGGGUGAAAGCAGGGGAUCUUCGGACCUUGCGCGAUUGAAUGAGCCGAUGUCGGAUUAGCUAGUUGGCGGGGUAAAGGCCCACCAAGGCGACGAUCCGUAGCUGGUCUGAGAGGAUGAUCAGCCACACUGGAACUGAGACACGGUCCAGACUCCUACGGGAGGCAGCAGUGGGGAAUAUUGGACAAUGGGCGCAAGCCUGAUCCAGCCAUACCGCGUGGGUGAAGAAGGCCUUCGGGUUGUAAAGCCCUUUUGUUGGGAAAGAAAAGCAGCAGGUUAAUACCCCGCUGUUCUGACGGUACCCAAAGAAUAAGCACCGGCUAACUUCGUGC